rnacentral:rRNA from 1 species
UACGUAGGGACCUAGCGUUGUCCGGAAUCAUUGGGCGUAAAGCGCGCGUAGGCGGCCCGGUAAGUCCGUUGUAAAAAGUCGAAGGCUCAACCUUCGAAAGCCGAUGGAUACUGCCGGGCUAGAGUACGGAAGAGGCGAGUAGAAUUCCUGGUGUAGCGGUGGAAUGCGCAGAUAUCAGGAGGAACACCGGUGGCGAAGGCGGUUCUCUGGGCAUUACCUGACGCUGAGGAGCGAAAGUGUGGGGAGCGAACAGG